UAAGUUUGAACAAAUUUAUACAUUCAAAAUGCUGUUGUAAGCAUUAAUAUCCUUGUGAACGCUAAACUGUCAUUUUUUUGUCCUCUACUACCAUUUCUGGAAUAAAUGUUAGUAGUUGAAAUAAUAAGUGGAGUUUAUAGAUUUAAAUAUGAUGGAGUGGCACAAGCUAAGAACAGGCUUGUCAUAUUAGAGUGCAAUAUUUUGGAAUGUUAUUGAUUAUAGUUUUCAGAGAAAGAACACUUUAUGCAUCAUUUAUUAUUACUAGCAACAAUUUUUAUUACCUGUAUAUCAAAUAAAUGGAAAGCUUCAUCUAACUGAGAAGUAGUUGACAUGAGUAUCUACCACAAUCAGAAUAGAUUCUAUCACAACUUACAGUAAAGAGAGCCUACGAUGUGAGAAUUAGGGAGAGUAUUAAAGCAAAGAAUGUGCUGGCAAUAGUAUUGCAAGAUGGAAUUUAUAUUCCAUAUUUACUCCAUGAAGCUAUUGAUUAUUUGAUAGAUAUUCUUUCUAACGCAGUGCUGGAAUCCAACUUGUCUUCUUUCCAUUGCUUUUAAACUAGGUUUAUCUCAGGAGACAAGAUAUUUUCUAGGAAAAUCAAUGAAAGUAAAACUGAAUACUGAAACUUUUACCACCAUAUUGGCUUCCCUUGUGCUUGGCCACUGAUAUACUUCCUCAGAUUACAGUAUUAAGAAUGCAAGCUUUAAAGGCUGAGUAGUUUCCUGUAAUACUCCAACAAGGUAGAAAGUAGAAAACGUUCCAAAUCAUAUUUGGAGUGUUACAGGAGGGUAGAAUUGCAGUUCUUUUUACCUCAACACCCACAUGCUCGAAGAAAAUCUGUUAGAGUUGUGUCAGCCUUUAUGAAAGUGUGAUUCUCACCAGCUUUUUUAUGUGGAUAUUAAAACUAUAGAAUCCUAGGCCAAACCAUAUAUCUACAGAAUCAAAAAACUUGCUUUCAGACCUCAGAAUGUGUAUUUUAACCAGGACUUUAGAGAAUGCCCAUGUUAAUUUAGGUUUGACAACUAGGGCCACAAUGGCUUAUAAAUGAGACAAAUAUGGAUUAGAGUGAAAGUUCUGUCAAAUGACCUUUCUAAAGCCUUAGUCUCCAUUAUAACAUCAAGAAAAUAAUGAUUUUUAUUCCAUAUUAUUCUUCUAAAGAUAUAAUGAAAUAAUAUGUAAGAAGCAUAUGUAGUCCCGAGUAGGGCAUGUAUAUAAUCAAUAAAGUUAGAUAGUGUUAUUAUUAUUAGUUAUGUCUGUGAGAAAACUACAAAAAAUGUUAUUCAUUCUUGAUCUAGAUGAAAGGUUGGGACUGUGUUUAUGACUUGGGGUUGUGUCACAGGUAUCACAAGGGCCUUCAUCAUAGACAUUUCUUAAUAAAUAAUUGCACUGGUCGUUUUUUGACUCACUUUUCCUCUUCCUUCACAUUUUGCCAAUUAAACCUCCAAAAAAAAUCCAAUCUAUUCAU
rnacentral:lncRNA from 1 species